AUAUAAAAAACUAUUCGAUAAAUACUUUCAAUCGUUUGCUAUUAUUCGCCAACGAUAAAAUCGAUAAAAUACCAAAAUGUCAAAAAUAUUUUUGUUGCUAUCAAUUUUAUUUAUUAUCGGAGUUUCGGAAACUUUUGCUUAUGGAUGCGAAGGCCAAUGGUGUCAUCCGCAACAAGGUUAUCCAUGCUGUGAGUGGCAUAUGUGUACGCAUUACUUAUUGCAGGGAACAUGUUACCAUUGAUAAGGAUUAUAAAAAAAUAAUUCCGGCAAAUCUUUGAUGUCAAAAAUGUACACAUAUUUAGAAUAAAAAAAAAAAUCUAAUUA